rnacentral:rRNA from 1 species
UACGUAGGGUGCAAGCGUUGUCCGGAAUUAUUGGGCGUAAAGAGCUCGUAGGCGGUCUGUCGCGUCGGCUGUGAAAACCCGGAGCUCAACUCCGGGCCUGCAGUCGAUACGGGCAGACUGGAGUUCGGCAGGGGAGACUGGAAUUCCUGGUGUAGCGGUGAAAUGCGCAGAUAUCGGGAGGAACACCGGUGGCGAAGGCGGUUCUCUGGGCCUGUACUGACGCUGAGGAGCGAAAGCGUGGGGAGCAAACAGG